AGUUUGUCCCAAUUCUCUCUGUUCUGGGAAAAGAAGGAAGAAAUGGAAAACAACACAAAACAUAAGUAUAAAAGUUCUACUAAGUAGGCUUUUCAUUCAAGCAUUUGAUGUGCUUAAGUUGGCUGCAAAUUCUCAAAACUGGAUGGCAAAUACUUUAGGGAGACAUUAGAGAAAUAGGAAUAGAGUGCAAGACCCUCCCCCCCAAAAAACAAAAAACCAAAUAAAUAUCAACAGUGAAUAUAAAUAUCUACCUUUUUUUACUGAGCGGACUUUCUUUGGUAGGAGUAAAGAGAUGAGAAGCUAGUCAAAUUCCCUGAAUACCCACGCACAUUCAUCUAUUCCCCAAAAAGUAAUUUCCCCAUCAGAUAGCAGAGCCAAGUGAACUAUGAUCAUAUCAACACCAGGCAGAGAAAACAAAGCAGCGAUCUGACUCCGUGUACUCGAGGUACGUGCGCUGAGCUUCCAGAGGCCAGGAAAACCGAAGGUGCCCAACUUAAACAUUUAUCAGAAAUUACUCAGACUUAAAAAAAAAAAAUGCAGGAAAACGAAAGGAGGGCCACACUAUCCAGAAAGGAAUGCAUAUGCUGAGUCAUCACUCUUCAUUAGGAAAGGAAGGAAACUCGAAUAAGCGGUGGGAAGAUGAAAUUCAUUCAUUAGAUUGAGCUUCAUGUAAAAAGCAACAGCAAGAUAGAAGAAAAAGCGCUCAAAAGACACACGUCGAAUAGCGGAUAAAGACAUAAUUUUAUCCAACUCUGAAGGUCUCGACGCACAAACAGAUUAGGAAGAAAUAACACCAAAUGAGCAAAAGCAGUUUAACAACUGGCUGUCAGUUUGUCGUAGGUAGCGCUCAAAGUAAACUUCGUUAUCCAAGAAAGGAAAGAUGCUCCGGCAGCAAGAGGCAUCCCUUUUGCACUUCAAAAGUAGCGGGCGCCGAGCGAGUGUUUCUGACAGCGUGGGCGGGGGCACGUGGGGCAGAAAGAGUAGGGGCUUGAGUGGCCGAAGAGCGUCCGGCUUCCUCGGAGAGCUCAGCUUGGGAGAAGAGCCGGGAGCGACUGGAGCUGGGGACGUGGAGGGCCCCGCUCCGGACACUGCGCUCCAACCAGGAGGAGCAGGAGGAGGAGGAGGAUGAACAAAAUGGCCGCCGCCACCAGCCAGGCAGGAAACGGGACAGAGCGCAGGCGCGGCCCGCCAGGUCACCGCUCA